rnacentral:rRNA from 1 species
GACGAACGCUGGCGGCGUGCUUAACACAUGCAAGUCGAACGGAAAGGCCCUGCUUUUGUGGGGUGCUCGAGUGGCGAACGGGUGAGUAACACGUGAGUAACCUGCCCUUGACUUUGGGAUAACUUCAGGAAACUGGGGCUAAUACCGGAUAGGAGCUCCUGCUGCAUGGUGGGGGUUGGAAAGUUUCGGCGGUUGGGGAUGGACUCGCGGCUUAUCAGCUUGUUGGUGGGGUAGUGGCUUACCAAGGCUUUGACGGGUAGCCGGCCUGAGAGGGUGACCGGCCACAUUGGGACUGAGAUACGGCCCAGACUCCUACGGGAGGCAGCAGUGGGGAAUAUUGCACAAUGGGCGGAAGCCUGAUGCAGCAACGCCGCGUGCGGGAUGACGGCCUUCGGGUUGUAAACCGCUUUCGCCUGUGACGAAGCGUGAGUGACGGUAAUGGGUGAAGAAGCACCGGCUAACUACGUGCCAGCAGCCGCGGUGAUGCGUAGGGUGCGAGCGUUGUCCGGAUUUAUUGGGCGUAAAGGGCUCGUAGGUGGUUGAUCGCGUCGGAAGUGUAAUCUUGGGGCUUAACCCUGAGCGUGCUUUCGAUACGGGUUGACUUGAGGAAGGUAGGGGAGAAUGGAAUUCCUGGUGGAGCGGUGGAAUGCGCAGAUAUCAGGAGGAACACCAGUGGCGAAGGCGGUUCUCUGGGCCUUUCCUGACGCUGAGGAGCGAAAGCGUGGGGAGCGAACAGGCUUAGAUACCCUGGUAGUCCACGCUGUAAACGGUGGGUACUAGGUGUGGGGUCCAUUCCACGGGUUCCGUGCCGUAGCUAACGCUUUAAGUACCCCGCCUGGGGAGUACGGCCGCAAGGCUAAAACUCAAAGGAAUUGACGGGGCCCCGCACAAGCGGCGGAGCAUGCGGAUUAAUUCGAUGCAACGCGUAGAACCUUACCUGGGUUUGACAUGGAUCGGGAGUGCUCAGAGAUGGGUGUGCCUCUUUUGGGGUCGGUUCACAGGUGGUGCAUGGCUGUCGUCAGCUCGUGUCGUGAGAUGUUGGGUUAAGUCCCGCAACGAGCGCAACCCUUGUUCACUGUUGCCAGCACGUUAUGGUGGGGACUCAGUGGAGACCGCCGGGGUCAACUCGGAGGAAGGUGGGGAUGACGUCAAGUCAUCAUGCCCCUUAUGUCCAGGGCUUCACGCAUGCUACAAUGGCUGGUACAGAGAGUGGCGAGCCUGUGAGGGUGAGCGAAUCUCGGAAAGCCGGUCUCAGUUCGGAUUGGGGUCUGCAACUCGACCUCAUGAAGUCGGAGUCGCUAGUAAUCGCAGAUCAGCAACGCUGCGGUGAAUACGUUCCCGGG